UACAGAGGUCUCAAGCGUUUGUUCGGAUUCAUUGGGCGUAAAGGGUGCGUAGGCGGCGCGGUAAGUCCGGGUGUGAAAUCUUGGAGCUUAACUCCGAAACUGCAUUCGAUACUGCCGUGCUUGAGGACUGGAGAGGAGACUGGAAUUUACGGUGUAGCGGUGAAAUGCGUAGAUAUCGUAAGGAAGACCAGUGGCGAAGGCGG
rnacentral:rRNA from 1 species